AUCAGUUCCGUGGUGUAUAACACAUUGGAUUGCAAAUCCAAAGAAGCAGAUUAAUAUUCUGCCGGGGCUUU
rnacentral:tRNA from 1 species